rnacentral:rRNA from 1 species
GGCAUGGCAGCAGGCUACCAUGCAAGUCGAGCGGUAACAGGGGAAGCUUGCUUCUCGCUGACGAGCGGCGGACGGGUGAGUAAUGUAUGGGGAUCUGCCCGAUAGAGGGGGAUAACUACUGGAAACGGUGGCUAAUACCGCAUAAUCUCUAAGGAGCAAAGCAGGGGAACUUCGGUCCUUGCGCUAUCGGAUGAACCCAUAUGGGAUUAGCUAGUAGGUGAGGUAAUGGCUCACCUAGGCGACGAUCCCUAGCUGGUCUGAGAGGAUGAUCAGCCACACUGGGACUGAGACACGGCCCAGACUCCUACGGGGAUCCUGGUCAGCAGUGGGGAAUAUUGCACAAUGGGUGCAUAGGCAUCUGUGAAUGCGAGGUCAUGCAUCAGCGUGUCUGCAAGAAGGCCUUAGGGUUGUACUAGUACUCGAGUAUCAAAGUCGGUAGCCGAAGGACGUUGUCUGCUAGUAUCAUCUGCGCUAUGACGUUGCCGACGCAAGAAGAAGACACCGGCUGAACUACCGUGCUCUGCAGUCCAGCGGUAAUAUGGAGAGGUGCUCAGCGUUCAUCGGAAUUAAUCAUGGGCGUAACGCCGCACCUCAGGCGGGUUGAUUAAGUAAUAGAUGUGAAAUCCCCGGGCCUUAACCUGGGAAUCGGCAUGCUAAGACGUGGUCAAGCUAGAGUCUUGCUAGAGGGGGACGUAGAAUUCGCAUGAUCGUAGCGGUGAAUUGACGUAGAGAUGUGCGGGGAAUACCGGUGGGGAUGGCGGCCCGCCUGUACAAACACAGACUGACUCUCAUGUGCGCGAGAGUGUUGUGCCACACAGGGGGCCUCCAUAGCCCCCGUGGUUUUUCCUGCUUAUUAUGUACGCGUUUUUCGGUGAGUUUUCUAGAGAUUGACUGCCUCCCCUUUACGGAGCUAACACUCUGGUAACCAGUCUCGGCGGGUCGGAUUCCCGGGGGAAGAGGUGAGGACUUAUAUGUAUUGACGGGGGCGCCCGCACAAGCGGUGGAGCAUGUAGCAGCUAUUUAUUCGAGUGCAACGCGACAGAUCCUUACUUACUCUUGACAUGCAGAGAAGCUAUCAGCAGAGAUGCUUUGCUUGCCUUCGGGAACCUCAUGAGAGAGGUGCUGCAUGGCUGUACGUCAGUCUCGUGUUGUGAAAUGUAUGGGUUCAGUCCCGCGACUAGCGCAACCCUUAUCCUUUGUUGCCAGCGAUUCGGUCGGGAACUCAAAGGAGUACAUGACCGGUGAUCAACCGGAGGAAGGUGGGGCUGACGUCAAGUCGUCGUGGCCUUUACGAGUAGGAGCUACACACGUGCUACAAUGGCGUAUACAAAGAGAAGCGACCUCGCGAGAGCAAGCGGAACUCAUAAAGUACGUCGUAGUCCGGAUUGGAGUCUGCAACUCGACUCCAUGAAGUCGGAAUCGCUAGUAAUCGUAGAUCAGAAUGCUACGGUGAAUACGUUCCCGGGCCUUGUACACACCGCCCAUCCCACCAUGGGAGUGGGUUGCAAAAGAAGUAGGUAGCUUAACCUUCGGGAGGGCGCUACCACUUGAUGUUCU